UUGCUCGGGGCGGUACAUCAUGUCUAAGGAGUACCACAGGUGUCUCGAGGUAUAGAGUCAGCUAGAGCGGGAACCUUGGGUAUAGCAAAAUGGUUAAAGGUUCCUUGAAUUUUAUUUUCAGUAUGAAUACGUACCGCGGAAGCGUGGCCAAUUGAUCCUUCUUGUCC
rnacentral:ncRNA from 1 species